UGGGAAGAAGGCUAAGGUGAGAGCCGUAACUUGGUAAAAUGCCCUUGUGUGGGAGAAGUUAACUAAUGGCAACUGUAUGGGAACAUCAGUCUGUGACCCUCACCUGCACAGUUUCUGAGAAAUAGUCAAAGAAUUUGUGUGUUUCAUUAAUUUCUAUUCUCAACGUCCAGAGCAGGUCAAAGCAGUGUGGUCAGAAACUCAGCUCCCCAAGUCUUACAUGGUGUCUUAGUUACUUGUUCCAUUGCUGAGACAAAAUACCCAACACCCAGAGUUAGAGGAGGAAAGGUUUAUUGUAGCUCACCAUUUGUAGAGGCUUCAGUCCAUAUCUGGCUGACUCCGAGGCAGGGUGGCUUGGCAGAGGGCAGCCAAGCAGCAAAGUACUGAGGAAGUGCAAGUGACAAGCCACAGCAGCAGCCCUCUUUUUGUCCUUUGUACUCUAUCCACUUUACCUGGGCAUAGGGCAGGCAGCACUCACACCCAGGUAGGCGUCCAUUAUCCAUGCCCAGAAUGAUGCCAAACUAAUCAGUGGACUGAUUUAACAAUCCCACACCCUUGAUCCCAGCACCACACACUCCAGAUCCAGCCAGCUCUGAAAAGCACCCCUCCUGGGGGGUACAUCUAGACAGGAGCCACAACACCCAGGUACCCAGUCAACCCUUGCUUAACUGAGACAGCGGUCGUCUGCAUGAACAGCGACACAAAGCCCAGUGUCUGGCGCUCUUUUUGGCCCUGGUGUCCUGGCAGCACUGUGCCACCUGGACUGGGCUCGAGCACUCAGGAACAGUGGUGAAGACUUCCUGCACUUAGUCUCUUUGCCCCUUGCUAAGUCAGUUCCUCCAGGCCCCGCCCAGCGAGGGACCGGGAGCCUCGGGUUGGGCUUCAUUACCCCAAGCUGGGGGCUGUGGACUCUCCAGGCUUUGAUGCCUUAUUGCUCUUCACACAGGGUCCUCUCAGCAAGGCUGGUUGCGUUCUUCAUCGCUGUGUCUAAUCAAACAUGUCACACCUCCACAGAGAAAGAAGAGGAUCCCAGUCUAACACACACCGAGGCCUUCAGUGAUAGUCCAGGGGUAAAAGAAUGAAGAAAUCUGGACAAAGCCUGGGACCUCAUAGCUGAAAUGUUCAGGACGUGGGACUCUGUGAAGGCAGAGGAAUCAUGAAGCGUUAUCCAGAGCAACACAGGCAGGUGCCCUCUCUGACACGGUGAGCGUGGCUGAGCUUGAGGGUGGACAGAGGGCAGGUGAGAGGUGGAGAGGCCAUGAGGACUCAGGCAGGCAUUCAGAGGCAGGAUGGGGAGGGUCUGCUUAGGGCAGCAGUAGGUGGGGCUGAGGGAAACAGGCUUUGGGGACUUUUAGGAGUAAAGGUCCAGCCCAGAGCCUCUGCUACAGAUUUGCACCUGCUGUGUGACCAGAGGAGAGCUGAGCCCAAGGGCGACCUUCUGCCCUGGACGCCCCUAGGCUGGAGAAUUCUGCUCCAAAGAUCGCCAGCCUCUAAACACCACGGGUCUGAGCUCCUGGCAACCGUGCCUGUCCCUGCUUGAUCCAGCGAGGGUGGACAGAUGACUGCACGGCAGGCUGUCCAGCACCCAGGGCUGCCUGCUCUGCUGCUCCUGGGCCCUGGCUGCAGCUCCUCCAUCUCACAGGCCUGGUCCCACACUUCUCACUGAUCAAGCAGGGUGCGUGCAGCAGAAACCUCCACACCCGGAUUUUUCUGCAAGUGCAAGUGGAGCAAGGGUCCUAACUAAUUCACAAGUGUCCUAAGUCCUCCCAGCUGUCUUCCUUCUUCCAUCUCUCCCAGGGACGCAAGCAGCAGCCUCUGGCACUCUUAAAUGUUCAUAUUUUUAGGAGCUUUAGGAGCAAAGAAAACCCACAAGCAUUCCUUUUUAAAAUAUCCCUGGCAUCAUUUUUCCCAAAGAUGGCAAGUAAUUACCACAAUUUUAGAGAAAAAUGUGUUCUAGUGAAAAGAUGCUGUGUUUUGCCAUGGCUGCGUAGGAUCCGAGGGAGCUAGAGCUGAAAUGUGGGUUUAGAGCCAAUCUCUUUCCAAGCCGGAGAGCACGCGGAGUGAUGCUGUAGUUCUCCUUGGCCGCCUCCGGGCAGACGUUGCCAGUCUGUCACUUGGGUCUUGUCUGUGAGCCCAGGGGUGGCCUCAAGGCCUCAUCAGUGCGGUGCUUAAGUGGCUGCUGACUGGCGGUGCUGGCAUGCAGGACGGAGCUGGGAUCUGGUCUGGCAGUCACACAGGGCAGCUGAGAGGUGGAAAUGGCUGUCACUACCUUGUCCGUGGGGUGUGAUGCUCACUCCUGCUUCCUCCAGGUUCCUCACUGAGGUCAGCGUAAGUCUGUGCUCCAGACUCUCUUUCCCUCCUGGGUCUCCAGGGCUCUACGCCCCUAGACUCUCCAUAGCUUUUUCUUUGAAAAGCCUAGCAUCGACCUGCUUUCUGAUUGCUGUCAAUCUCUCUGGCCACAGCUGUGCCUCAUGGUGGCUCAGCUCAGCCACAGACAGAUGUGGGGCCCCAGGAUGCUCUUGACAGCUUCACGUGCAGCCGGGGCCUGGGGCUGCCUGCCUGCUCUGGAGGAGCUUGAGAGCCCAGGACCUGCUAGUGAUAGGGAGAGAGCGGGCUCGGGGGAGGGGAGAAGAGGGGAGGGGUGGAAAUGGGAGGGGAGAGAAACAGCCACAGAGCAAGAGCUGAUUGGAAGAGAAAGUGAUGGUUUGAUUUGUGAUCCUGGGAGAGAAAGGUUUUAUUCAACAGCAGACCUGCUGAAGCCCUGAGCAUGAAUAGCUUCCCUUUAGUUGGUGGCAGGGGAAUGGCCACUGUGGAGGGUGACAGAGACCCAGAAGGUAGGAUGGAAGUGUGCGAUAUCCAGGUCUGGCUUCGGGGCAGUUACUUCCAGGUACUGCCUUGUCUUCUUGGGUUUGUCUGGCGGGGCUGGCAGGCACUGUGCUGAGGCUGUCGUCCCCUCUGGUGACAGGUGCCGCUCACCCACAAGCCUGGUGGAGCAGGAGUUCUGAGGCCCCGCCUUGCUCCCAGUGCCUAGUGCCUGGUUUGUUCACAGGCCAGGGGGUCAAUCUCCCCACCAGCACCUCAGGAAGAGGGAUUUCCUUUUUUACUGCAGUUGUCUUUAUUUUGUUUUGUCUUACAUUUCUCCAGCUUUAUUGAGGUAUGAUUGACAAAGAAAAAUUGCCUAUAUUUAGGGUACACAAAGGAAUGUUCCUAUAAACGUACACACUGUGAAAUGAUUACCACCAUGCAGCUAAUUUGACCUGUCCAUUGCCUCACUCAGUCAUGCGUGUGUGGGGUGCUUCUCCGUCCACCUAUCUGUGGGUGCACACAGAGGUUGCUUCUGCACAGGCUCCAGCCGCUCCCCCUUUCUGCUCUUUCCUGGGACCCUCCCAGAUCUCAGAGCACGGGGUACACUCUGGAGGAACCACUGGGAGUCUGACUAAGUCCUUGCACCCAGAUGCUGUUCUGAGAUUCUGACUUACUUGACUCAGGGAAGCCUGAGUGUGGGGCUAGGAAAACCUCCCUGCAGUUGUUACGUGAAGUUCCCAAACUGCUGGGGACUUAGCGCUGCUGGGAGAACUGCCUCUUAUACCAUGCCACUGGGGGCCAGUGAUUCCACCUUUGCAAAAGCAACUGGCAUAUCAAGAGCCUCUGAGAAGGUUUUUUUGCUUCGGUUUUUUAGAAGUAAUAAUUCUACUUCUCUGCUUAAGGAGCUAAGGAUGGUGUAUAGAUGUUGACCUCAAUGUUACUUAUCAUAGUGAAAGAUGGAAAUAAUCUAAUUACUCAACAUAUGAGUGGUUAAAUAAAUUACGAUGCAUUUCCAAAAUACAAUAAUGUCUACACAGAAUCAAAUUUGUAAAGAUGAUCUACCGACCUAUGAGAAUAUUCUUCAUAAGCAAAGAAGCAAGAUAACAGACUUUAUUUUUUGAUGUGGCCAAUUUUGUUUUAAAAAUGCAUGAUAUUUUAGCCGUUAGGAUUUUAUUUUUAUUUUGCUAGGAAUAGACAUAGACUCAAACUGGCUCAAGUAAAGAAAAUGUAUAGUCUCAUGGAGGGCACAUGUCAGGCUCUGAAUUGGUUCACGAAGCAGGUCGACAUUUCCUCCAAGGACCCGGUUGCCUUCUUGAAUGUCUCUGUCACCCUCAGAGCCACUUCCACCACAGGCAAGGGGCCCCACGAGGACCCAGGGCUGCCCAGGGGAGGCACGGGCCCCUCUCUGCACGCUCACCCUCUCCUUGCUCCUGUCUCUCUGCCCCUCCCCACCCUUCUCUAGAUUGCGGAGAUUGAGGGGCGCGGGUUUUUCCUGACAGCGCAUCUGCAGCCCCAUAUGCUGUAGACCUGAACUGAGUAGUGUCGGCCCCUGAAUCGAGCCCUGGGGAACCGAGGCUGUACUCAGCCCUUGGGGAGCCGAUUCUGCUCUCCAGGUAUUGGGUUUCCGAGGUAGGGUCUUGCAGAGGAGGGCUGGGCCCUGACCAUGACUGCCAUUCAGUCGGGGACCACAGGGCCAAAGACACUGUGCAGCCAGCCACCUGUGCUCAUCUCGGUCGGCGCCAGCCCUCUUGAUCCAACACUGGGACAAGUCUGAGGGAAGAACGCGCCUGGGCACGGAGGGGUCUUCAGCCGGGAUUUUGGCUGAGAUCUGAAUCCAUGCACAGCGUUUCCAAGCUCAUGGCACAGAGAGUCAAAUGCAGUGUGUGAACCAGCUAGGGUGUGCCUCCGAGGACAGUCUCUGCCUGGCUGGGAGGACCUGCCUGGACUUGUCCUGGAAUGGGGCUUGUUACGGUGACGGGACUGAGGGAGACCCCGGGUGAGGACUGUGGGGGUGCGGGAGGAGCAGAUGCUUCGUGAUUUCCAUCAGCCUCAGGUAAAGUUCACCUGGCGAAGCAGGCUGGAGACUUGACGGCCUUGAUAUCAUGAGAAGAACGGGUCUGAUGCUGUCCAUGACUCUGCAAACCUGUCUGCUCUCUGAGUUCUCGUACUGCAGGAUCCCAGGGGGCCCCAGGAACCAGAAGGAGGAGUCCUCUCACAAGCACCCUGAGAAUCCAUUCUUGUAUUCCAUAAGCAUUUUAACCAUUUAAUAAAAUAGCUAAAUGUG